CACACGUUCUAUGAAAGACGAAGGGAGAACGGAUUGGGGGUGAAAUCUUAAACGAUAGAAAGUGUAUUCUAAAUUGCAUAAAGCUACGAAGAAAACUUGCCAAAUCGGCGAUGGGACUUCACUUUUACAAUUGUACUAUUUGACCAUCUAUGUAACUUCGAGACCAAAGUGCCACGUAUGGAUUGAAACUUAUUACUCUUGGACUUACGAUGCUAUUUAGGACAGGCAGCUGCUCGUAAUACACCAUAAAUGGCCACCGAAAUAUCGAUGAUAAACGAGAGGCGGAGAGGACAUGGAAGUUCGUUUUGAUGCUAGCGUAAAAGAAGUUGUUCGAUGUGAUGUUCUUUCUAUAAAUAAUUUUGCAGAUAAUUGAGGAACAUUAUAAAAAUUCUGGAUGCCAUUAAGUUACAGACCGUUGGUUACAUCAGUCCUCCUUCGUUUCAGGGAGUAGCUGUACCUAUAGCCCAAGGGAAUGCACGAAAGUGAUUUUUUUUCCAUUGAGAAUGAAGACAGUAUGUUUUUGCUGAAGGAAGGAUUCAUGACAAUGAAUUGACUGCCCAACAUAUGAGAAGGGGGAGACUGCUGGAAAUUAAUUUGGAAACCGCUGAAACAAUAGAUUGCAGUGGCAUCUCUCCUGGCUUUGGCUUGCUCGUUACACAUUUAGACUUUAGAAUAUUAGUUUCUGCAAUUAAUUAAGAUUAUCCAAUAAAUGAGAGAAUUAAUGUUCAGCUUGGUCUUACUGAAACAACCAAAGUCUACAUGGGUGUGGUCUAUUGUGAACUGUUUUCUUGAUUUGCUGUUUUCGUCUUCGCCUUGCAACAUUAUGCAGUUAAUUUUCAACCGAAGAGAGAAGAGCAACUGGAGAUUUAUUUGAAUUCCACUGAAACAACAAAUUUUCUGCUAUGGAUUUGAAUUUGGUUUGCUCUUCACAUCUGCAAACUUUGAAAUGUUACAGUUACAGUUAAUGAAGGUGAGAAUACUUGAUAUAAUUAAUUUUAAUUGCUUUUUAUUAAUCUGUUUGCCACCGUAUCUG
rnacentral:lncRNA from 1 species